CUGCGGAUUUCUCACAAGUCCCAUUUUAUGGGUUUUGGUAUCAUCAUUCAUAGUUGCCUGGGAAUGUUUUGUAGGCUUCAUCUGAAAGCAAGGAGCCAACAGAACUCAAUUUUUUUCUUUCACAGAUGGCUUUGUCAGUGUUUGUUAUUUGCCUUAUCACAGAGCUUUAGAUGUGUAUCCAGUGUAUGUGCAUCUGUGUAUCAGUUUUGGACUACUCAGAUGGUCCUCCUAAAAUCCAAGAGCCAAACAGAAAAACAAAUAGAAUUAAGAAAAUGA
rnacentral:lncRNA from 1 species